rnacentral:tRNA from 1 species
GGGCCCAUAGUAUAACCUGGACAGAACGGGAGCUUGCGGAGCUUCAAAUCGGGGUUCGAACCACCUUUUUCUUUUGUAAAAGAAAAAGAGUGGCCGAAAAAGAAAACAUUUAGCCUUUAGCGAAAAUCCCCGUGGGUCCG